AACGAACGCUGGCGGCAUGCCUAACACAUGCAAGUCGAACGAAGCCUUCGGGCUUAGUGGCGCACGGGUGCGUAACGCGUGGGAAUCUGCACCUGGCUUCGGAAUAACAGUUAGAAAUGACUGCUAAUACCGGAUGAAGUCUUCGGACCAAAGAUUUAUCGGCAAGGGAUGAGCCCGCGUAGGAUUAGGUAGUUGGUGGGGUAAAGGCCUACCAAGCCGACGAUCCUUAGCUGGUCUGAGAGGAUGAUCAGCCACACUGGGACGGAGAAACGGCCCAGAAUCCUACGGGAGGCAGCAGUGGGGAAUAUAGGACAAUGGAGGCAAGUAUGAACCAGCAAGGCCGCGUGAGCGAUGAAGGUCUUAGGGUUGUAAAGCGCUUUUACCAGGGAUGAUAAUGACAGUACCUGGAGAAUAAGCUCCGGCUAACUCCGUG
rnacentral:rRNA from 1 species